GACGAACGCUGGCGGCGUGCUUAACACAUGCAAGUCGAACGGAAAGGCCCUGCUUUUGUGGGGUGCUCGAGUGGCGAACGGGUGAGUAACACGUGAGUAACCUGCCCUUGACUUUGGGAUAACUUCAGGAAACUGGGGCUAAUACCGGAUAGGAGCUCCUGCUGCAUGGUGGGGGUUGGAAAGUUUCGGCGGUUGGGGAUGGGCUCGCGGCUUAUCAGCUUGUUGGUGGGGUAGUGGCUUACCAAGGCUUUGACGGGUAGCCGGCCUGAGAGGGUGACCGGCCACAUUGGGACUGAGAUACGGCCCAGACUCCUACGGGAGGCAGCAGUGGGGAAUAUUGCACAAUGGGCGGAAGCCUGAUGCAGCAACGCCGCGUGCGGGAUGACGGCCUUCGGGUUGUAAACCGCUUUCGCCUGUGACGAAGCGUGAGUGACGGUAAUGGGUAAAGAAGCACCGGCUAACCACGUG
rnacentral:rRNA from 1 species